GAGCACCUUCAGGGGGGUAGAGGAGCCCCGAGGAAGAAGAAAUUCCAAGAAACACAAAGAAGAAUGAAGCAAGGAGGAGAAUGGCUGCUGUAAAAGAAUAAGAAGGUCAUAUGCACCCACAGCUUACUGGAUAAAAUCUCUUCUGGGAGUUGGAAGAAGUCAGUUCAAAAUCCACAAAUGUGAAGAGUGAAAGAUUCUAAAUGUCACCCUUUUAAAGAAAUUUCUCUGUGUUUUUAUACAUUAGCAUACAGCAAACUACCAUAAUAACAUGUAGUGGGUUUCAUGUUCAUUAAAUUCUGUUUGCUAAAUUUA